CAAGCAGGACGGGCGGCCGCCGUUCCGGUCUGGAAAUUUCAGAUCGGGAGGGAGGAAAGUCCGGGCACCACCAGGCAGGAUGCCCGCUAACAGCGGGGCGGGGCGACCCGACGGACAGUGCCACAGAAACAUACCGCCUUGAUUGAGCGGCGACGCGAUUUCGGGGCAAGGGUGAAAUGGCGAGGUAAGAGCUCACCGCCCUGCCGGUGACGGCAGGGGCAGGGUAAACCCCAUCCGGUGCAAGGCCAAAUAGGGGGACGCAGGCGUCUGGCCAGUCCCCGGGUUGGCCGCUUGAUCCUUCCAGUAAUGGAAGGACUAGAUGGAUGACCGCACAGGGUUUGAUCGCGGGGAAGAAGGCUUGAUCGUAAACCCGCGAUCGGACCCGGACAGAACCCGGCUUACAGUCCGGCUUGCUUC
rnacentral:RNase_P_RNA from 1 species